CUGGAGACUAAGAAAACAGAGUCCUUGAAGUCCAGCUGGCUCUGCUGUUAGCCUCCUAAAUGAAAAGGUAGAUAGAACAGGUCUUGUUUGCAAAAUAAAUGCAAUACCUACUUAUCUAUCAACAGCA
ensembl:scaRNA